rnacentral:tRNA from 1 species
GCCGAGGUGGCGGAAUUGGCAGACGCGCAUGGUUGAGGGCCAUGUGGGCUUAGCGCCCGUGCGGGUUCAAAUCCCGCCCUCGGCACCA